GUCCCUGUAGCACAAUGGAUAGCGCGUUGGACUUCUGAUCCAAAGCUCGUGUGUUCGAAUCCCACCUGGGAUG
rnacentral:tRNA from 1 species